rnacentral:misc_RNA from 1 species
AACGAAACAUACGUUGGAAUACUCGAACAAUCCGUCAUCAAACGCCGCAUACUCUGCGUUAUAAUUUUCACUGACUCCCAACUCGAACGAGUCAUAACUCGGGAUCUGAUCAUCAAACCCCCAGAACCCACCAUUUUCAGAUGAGUCAACUGAGUCCACUCGGACCAACUCAGUCACUUCAUUUUUAUUCUCCUCCCCGGAAGAAGUUACCGAUGAAGGAGGUAACCCAAGCUCAUCAUCAGAUGCUUCUAGAAGGUACCCAAGUUCCGGUUGGGACUCACCGGAAUCCGACGUGAGGUCCACAACAACGACUGGGGAGGAGGAGGCAGAU